rnacentral:rRNA from 1 species
CGGGAGGCAGCAGUAGGGAAUCUUCCGCAAUGGACGAAAGUCUGACGGAGCAACGCCGCGUGAGUGAUGAAGGUUUUCGGAUCGUAAAGCUCUGUUGUUAGGGAAGAACAAGUGCAAGAGUAACUGCUUGCACCUUGACGGUACCUAACCAGAAAGCCACGGCUAACUACGUGCCAGCAGCCGCGGUAAUACGUAGGUGGCAAGCGUUGUCCGGAAUUAUUGGGCGUAAAGGGCUCGCAGGCGGUUUCUUAAGUCUGAUGUGAAAGCCCCCGGCUCAACCGGGGAGGGUCAUUGGAAACUGGGAAACUUGAGUGCAGAAGAGGAGAGUGGAAUUCCACGUGUAGCGGUGAAAUGCGUAGAGAUGUGGAGGAACACCAGUGGCGAAGGCGACUCUCUGGUCUGUAACUGACGCUGAGGAGCGAAAGCGUGGGGAGCGAACAGGAUUAGAUACCCUGGUAGUCCACGCCGUAAACGAUGAGUGCUAAGUGUUAGGGGGUUUCCGCCCCUUAGUGCUGCAGCUAACGCAUUAAGCACUCCGCCUGGGGAGUACGGUCGCAAGACUGAAACUCAAAGGAAUUGACGGGGGCCCGCACAAGCGGUGGAGCAUGUGGUUUAAUUCGAAGCAACGCGAUGUCCUUACCAGGUCUUGACAUCCUCUGACAACCUCUAGAGAUA